rnacentral:rRNA from 1 species
GUACGCUAUUCAGAGUUUGAUCCUGGCUCAGGACGAACGCUGGCGGCGUGCUUAACACAUGCAAGUCGAACGAAGCUUGAUCACGGAUUCUUCGGAUGAAGUGUGAUAUGACUUAGUGGCGGACGGGUGAGUAACGCGUGAGUAACCUGCCUUUCAGAGUGGAAUAACGUUUGGAAACGACCGCUAAUACCGCAUAACAUUACGAGGCCGCAUGACCUUGUAAUCAAAGAUUUUAUCGCUGAAAGAUGGACUCGCGUCUGAUUAGCUAGUUGGUGAGGUAACGGCUCACCAAGGCGACGAUCAGUAGCCGGACUGAGAGGUUGAACGGCCACAUUGGGACUGAGACACGGCCCAG